UUUUUAACUCAAGUGGCGGACGGGUGAGUAACACGUAAGAAUUUACCUUUAGGAGGGGGAUAACAACUGGAAACGGUUGCUAAUACCCCAUAUGCUUUCGAGUGAAAUGGAUUUUUCCGCCUAAAGAGGAGCUUGCGGCUGAUUAGCUUGUUGGUGAGGUAAUGGCUCACCAAGGCGACGAUCAGUAUCUGGUUUGAGAGGACGAUCAGACACACUGGAACUGAGACACGGUCCAGACUCCUACGGGAGGCAGCAGUGGGGAAUUUUCCGCAAUGGGCGAAAGCCUGACGGAGCAAUACCGCGUGAGGGAUGACGGCCUAUGGGUUGUAAACCUCUUUUUUCAGGGAGGAAUCAAUGACGUGUACCUGAAGAAUAAGCAUCGGCUAACUCCGUGCCAGCAGCCGCGGUAAGACGGAGGAUGCAAGUGUUAUCCGGAAUCACUGGGCGUAAAGCGUCUGUAGGUGGUCUAGUAAGUCAACUGUUAAAUCUUGAGGCUCAACUUCAAAAUCGCAGUCGAAACUAUUAGACUAGAGUAUAGUAGGGGUAAAGGGAAUUUCCAGUGGAGCGGUGAAAUGCGUAGAGAUUGGAAAGAACACCGAUGGCGAAGGCACUUUACUGGGCUAUUACUGACACUGAGAGACGAAAGCUAGGGUAGCAAAUGGGAUUAGAUACCCC
rnacentral:rRNA from 1 species